rnacentral:rRNA from 1 species
GGGCGAAAGCCUGAUGCAGCAACGCCGCGUGAGGGAUGACGGCCUUCGGGUUGUAAACCUCUUUUAGCAGGGAAGAAGCGAGAGUGACGGUACCUGCAGAAAAAGCGCCGGCUAACUACGUGCCAGCAGCCGCGGUAAUACGUAGGGCGCAAGCGUUAUCCGGAAUUAUUGGGCGUAAAGAGCUCGUAGGCGGUCUGUCGCGUCUGCUGUGAAAUCUGGAGGCUCAACCUCCAGCCUGCAGUGGGUACGGGCAGACUAGAGUGCGGUAGGGGAGAUUGGAAUUCCUGGUGUAGCGGUGGAAUGCGCAGAUAUCAGGAGGAACACCGAUGGCGAAGGCAGAUCUCUGGGCCGUAACUGACGCUGAGGAGCGAAAGGGUGGGGAGCAAACAGGCUUAGAUACCCUGGUAGUCCACCCCGUAAACGUUGGGAACUAGUUGUGGGGUCCUUUCCACGGAUUCCGUGACGCAGCUAACGCAUUAAGUUCCCCGCCUGG